CCCAAAACCUAGUACGGCUGGUUCUCUUUCUCUCUCUAACUCCUGUUUUGCAUGAUCAGACCAAUCUCCGUUCUCCUUUCUCUUACCUUCGUUACUUGCAGCGAGGACUAGUGUCGAUCUGUAUCUGGUCCUGCAGAGUCUUCGAUCUAUCGGUUUCGUUAAUCUUGUUUUUGUACCGGGAGUCAAUUUUCUGGAUGUUUCUUGGUGAUUAAGCUGAUCUGAGACCAGAAUGGGAUUUGAUUACGAGUGCAUAGUAGAUGUUAGUAAACUCGCAGGAGAGUAUUUCUGUCCAGUAUGUAGUCAACUUGUCUAUCCAGACGAAGCUCUUAAGACUCAGUGCUCGCAUCUGUUUUGCAAGCCAUGCUUAACUUACACUGUAUGCACGUCACAGGCCUGUCCAUACGAUGGGUUUCUGGUUACGGAAGCUGACUCGAAGCCACUUAAGGAGAGUGACAAAGCAUUAGCGGAAACUAUAGGUAAAAUACCUGUCACUUGUUUGUACAUCAGGAGUGGAUGCCCGUGGAAAGGUAAUCUAUCCGAUUGUUCUUCUCACUGUGGUAGCUGUGUCUUUGGAAGUUCCCCAGUUGUUUGUAAUAAAUGUGGGGUGCAGAUUGUGCAUAGGCAAGUCCAGGAGCAUGUUCAGAAUUGCCCAGGCAUCCAUUCUCAGGUUCAGCAGGCUGCCACUGUUGUAUCCACUGCUACUGUCCAAAGCCAGACAACAAAUGCAUCUGCUGCAACCAUUCAAGCUGCAGGUGGUCCUUCCAGUCAGGAUGUUAAUCAGCAGGCCAUUGCUACUAGUCAGGUGCAGGCAGUUACUAGUCAGGUGCAGGCAGUUACUAGCACAGCUCCACAAAAGCAAGGACAGUACUAUCAGCAACAAUACCAGCUGUACUAUCAGCAAUAUCCUGGGUAUGACCCUUAUCAGCAGCAGUAUCAACUUUACUAUGCAUAUCAACAGCCAACAAUCCAGCAGUUUCAGCAGCACCUGCCUGAUGGGCAAGGUCAGCAACCAGUUCAGGUUUAUCCCCAUCCUCAACAGGAGGCUCAGGCUCAGGCCCAGGCUCAGGCCCAAAUACCAACUCAACUGCAUCAACAGCCACAAAUCCAGCCCCACCAUCCACAGCCGCAACAGCUUCUACAUGCUCACGCUCCUCCUGUGACUGGGCAAUAUCAAAACCAGGCUGCAGUUAAUCCACCACAACAGUACCUUGCUGCUGGGCAACCCCCCUUUCAAAUGCAAGCACCAGUACAAGCUCAGUCACAUGGACCCUAUCCAGGGAAGCAGCAAAGGCCACAACAAUCCAUGCCCCAGUAUCAUCAUCAGCAGCAUCCUCUGGUUCAACAUCCACCCGCCCAGAUUCAGCCACCUUUCCAACAGCAGCAGCCUUUAUCACAACCGCAACCCCAAAUUCAGCCUCCUUUCCAGGCUGGCUCUCAGUAUGUGAAUACUGCACCACCUUUUCAUGCUGUUUCAGGUCAUCAGUUCUACGCACAGCCUCAGGCGCAUCAGCACAUGCAGGUAGCACCUCAGCAGGUGAAUCCCCAGAAUGCAUUGUUUCCUCAUCAUCCUCCAAACCCACAUCUUGAUCAGUUACAACAUCCUCCUGCAUUGUUUCCUCAUCAUCCUCCACAUCGUCCUGCAUUGCAGCCGCCGCACUCCAUUCAAUCUCAACAAACUUUCCAAGGGCAACCGUCCAUGCCUGUACAAAAUCAGUUAUAUCCACCUGCUCCUUUUGUGCAGCAGCAGAUGUACCCACCUCACUCUUUGCCUACUGCUCCUUACCAGUCUGUUACACCUCAAAAUAUGAUGCAGCAAUCUCAGAAUUACAACGCACGGCCUACUGUGCCAAAUCUUGGAGUUCAGCCUCAACCUGCUGCACAGUCACCUGCUGUGUCUGCUAGUUCUGGUCAGGACAGGCCAAUGCAGCCCUUCAUGAACCAGGCCCCUCUAAAUCAAAAUGAUACUCUUAGAAGGGACAAUCAACUGGUAAAGUCUGAGCAAAAAAUUGCACAAUCAGAUGAUGUCAUUUCAAAUUCGGGUCCUUCAGUUGAGACAAAAGUGAUUUCCAACCAAGGAACAUAUGGUUUAUCCAGUGAUGGAAGAUUCCAAAUUAACAGAGCUAUGGACACAAAUAAAGAUCCUAAAGCUAAAGGAAUAGGUACUCUAUUGCCUGAAAAUGGGAGUACUUUUCCAGAUCCUUCUAUUAAGAGCGUGGUUGCAAAGACGGUAGAUGGUGUAAUUGAACCUAAAGUGAAUAGUGUAGCUGUUGGUACUUCGUUUGGAGGGAAGACGGAAAAUAUGGUCAAGUCUGAGGUUUCUCGCAGUGAGUUCAAAGAUGGUUCAAAGACUGUUUCUCAAGAUCAGGAUCAAGGACAUGUAGGGGGAGAUGUCAAGAUCUUCCCUGCUCAUAAUGAGAAGCAGGGAAAGGCUUUUCCUAAUCCUACCAAUCAAAUUCCUGUAACAGAACAAGGAAGAGACCCAAGUUAUCCUUUUCAUGUCUCAAAUAUAGUCAAGUUUGAGGUUUCUCGCAGUGAGUUCAAAGAUGGUUCAAAGGCUGUUUCUCAAGAUCAGGAUCAAGGACGUGUAGGGGGAGAUGUCAAGAUCUUCCCUGCUAAUAAUGAGAAGCAGGGAAAGGCUUUUCCUAAUCCUACCAAUCAAAUUCCUGUAACAGAACAAGGAAGAGACCCAAGUUAUCCUUUUCAUGUCUCAAAUAUUGUCAAGUCUGAGGUUUCUCGCAGUGAGUUCAAAGAUCGUUCAAAGGCUGUUUCUAAAGAUCAGGAUCAAGGACAUGUAGGGGGAGAUGUCAAGAUCUUCCCUGCUCAUAAUGAGAAGCAGGGAAAGGCUUUCCCUAAUCCUACCAAUCAAAUUCCUGUAACAGAACAAGGAAGAGACCCAAGUUAUCCUGUUCAUGUCUCAAAUUCUGGUCAGCAUCAGAGGAAUCCUGGAAGUUCUUUGUUCCCCCUUGUGCAAUCUCAAAAUAAUACUAGGCCUCAAGGAUCAGAACAAAUGCAUCUGAAAGGAAUGCAGCUAGUCCCACCAGAGUGUUUUCCUGCUGAUCCUCCUCAUGGAAAUGAGUUGAGUGCCAUAGCCAUGGGAAAGAGAAGUCACAUAAGUCAGCCACAUCCAAAUCAUCCUGCUCGUCAUCAUGACCGAGUAUUCAGGCCUCCCCUUGCUCCAAGUGAUGUUCGUGAUAGAGUAAGGCCUCUUGGUUCUGAUGGUAAUACAGGGAGAUUGGAUCCUGCUUUUCUUGCACCCACUUUUGAAUUUUCACGUCAUCAUAUGGAUAGGCUGGCUCCGAUAAGCCCAGGUCGUGAAUAUCUUGAUUUCCAUUCCCAUAAUCCUCACCUUCAUCGUAACCAGUCAAGAUUGGAUGAUAUUAAUGGAUGGGAAUCACAUCCUUUUAAUGACGCAACAAGGGGCUUAAACUUCUCAUCAGAUCCUAUUCGCCAUAAAUUUAGUCAAAAUAGGUUCCCACAGAGAGGUGAAGUUGAUGUACCUGAGAACUUUCGAGGUAGUGAUUUAACUAGGCCUGAAAUGCUCCCUCCCCAUUUGAGGGAAGGCGGUUCUUUCGGUUCAGGGAAGUUUCAUGGCCAUUUUCCCUUGCCUGAACCUGGUUUUGGUUCUUAUGGUGAUCCACGCAUGGGUGAUUUUGCUGGAUCAGGAAAUUUGUAUCAUCGUCCGCUAGUUGGUGAGUCAUCAGGUGAAAAUCUAUUUGGUCAGCCUCGUAUUGGUGAAACUGGAUUCAGCAGCAACUACUCAUCUGCAGCUAGCUUGGAUUCAAUCGAGAGGCGGAGGCCUCCAGGCAUAUACUGUCGCAUUUGUGAUGUUGUCUGUGAAUCAUUGGAAGCAUUGGAAAUGCAUGCCCAGACCAAGGAUCACCAGAAGAUGUCUCUGAAUGUUGUUGCGAACAUUAAAAGAAAUGCAAGAAAGAGGAAAGCAACCAACCUUUCUUCACUUGAGCCAUAUAAGUCUAGACGAUCUGGUUAUGAAGCUCGACGAUCCAAGAAUUGAGGAUUUAUGCAGUGCUGUUGUGAAGGUUGUUUUAGUGGAGAUGUCUUUUGAACUUGUCCUUCGGCUGCAGGGAGUACUAAAGGGGACAGAUAUGAAGCAAAAGAUGAGGGAAAAUGGAACCAGGCUUUUUCUCUGCUGAUGACUGAACUAGCUUUUGCUGAAGAUUAGGUAAGAUUCUUCAAUCUUUGUUGGCUUCAUAUAUAGAAAGAAUAAUUAUAGUAUAAGAUUAUAAAGUUUAAUGUUUUCUUCUAUUUUUGUUCAGAUUCAGUUUGGUGUUUUGUAAACAUUCUACUCAUUAAUAAAAUGAAUAAUUAAUUGUAUUAAUGUA